rnacentral:rRNA from 1 species
CGGGACGGGUGAGUAACACGUGGGCAACCUGCCUUGUAGAGGGGAAUAGCCUUCCGAAAGGAAGAUUAAUACCGCAUAACAUUACAUUUUCGCAUGAAGAAGUAAUUAAAGGAGCAAUCCGCUACAAGAUGGGCCCGCGGCGCAUUAGCUAGUUGGUGAGGUAACGGCUCACCAAGGCGACGAUGCGUAGCCGACCUGAGAGGGUGAUCGGCCACAUUGGGACUGAGACACGGCCCAGACUCCUACGGGAGGCAGCAUG